CAUAACCUACGGGGGGCAGCAGUGGGGGAUAUUGCACAAUGGGGGGAACCCUGAUGCAGCGACGCCGCGUGGGUGAAGAAGCGCCUCGGCGCGUAAAGCCCUGUCAGCAGGGAAGAAAAUGACGGUACCUGAAGAAGAAGCCCCGGCUAACUACGUGCCAGCAGCCGCGGUAAUACGUAGGGGGCAAGCGUUAUCCGGAUUUACUGGGUGUAAAGGGCGUGUAGGCGGGCAUGCAAGCCAGAAGUGAAAUCUGGGGGCUUAACCCCCAAACUGCUUUUGGAACUGCGUGUCUUGAGUGAUGGAGA
rnacentral:rRNA from 1 species